UAGGGAAUCUUCCGCAAUGGACGAAAGUCUGACGGAGCAACGCCGCGUGAGUGAUGUAGGUUUUCGGAUCGUAAAACUCUGUUGUUAGGGAAGAACAAGUACGAGAGUAACUGCUCGUACCUUGACGGUACCUAACCAGAAAGCCACGGCUAACUACGUGCCAGCAGCCGCGGUAAUACGUAGGUGGCAAGCGUUGUCCGGAAUUAUUGGGCGUAAAGCGCGCGCAGGCGGUCCUUUAAGUCUGAUGUGAAAGCCCACGGCUCAACCGUGGAGGGUCAUUGGAAACUGGGGGACUUGAGUACAGAAGAGAAGAGUGGAAUUCCACGUGUAGCGGUGAAAUGCGUAGAGAUGUGGAGGAACACCAGUGGCGAAGGCGACUCUUUGGUCUGUAACUGACGCUGAGGCGCGAAAGCGUGGGGAGCAAACAGGAUUAGAUACCCUGGUAGUCCACGCCGUAAACGAUGGGUGCUAAGUGUUAGAGGGUUUCCGCCCUUUAGUGCUGCAGCAAACG
rnacentral:rRNA from 1 species